rnacentral:rRNA from 1 species
UACCGCAUAAGCGCACAGGAUCGCAUGAUCCGGUGUGAAAAACUCCGGUGGUAUGAGAUGGACCCGCGUCUGAUUAGCCAGUUGGCAGGGUAACGGCCUACCAAAGCGACGAUCAGUAGCCGACCUGAGAGGGUGACCGGCCACAUUGGGACUGAGACACGGCCCAAACUCCUACGGGGGGCAGCAGUGGGGAAUAUUGCACAAUGGGGGAAACCCUGAUGCAGCGACGCCGCGUGAGCGAAGAAGUAUUUCGGUAUGUAAAGCUCUAUCAGCAGGGAAGAAGAAUGACGGUACCUGACUAAGAAGCACCGGCUAAAUACGUGCCAGCAGCCGCGGUAAUACGUAUGGUGCAAGCGUUAUCCGGAUUUACUGGGUGUAAAGGGAGCGCAGGCGGUGCGGCAAGUCUGAUGUGAAAGCCCGGGGCUCAACCCCGGUACUGCAUUGGAAACUGUCGUGCUAGAGUGUCGGAGGGGUAAGUGGAAUUCCUAGUGUAGCGGUGAAAUGCGUAGAUAUUAGGAGGAACACCAGUGGCGAAGGCGGCUUACUGGACGAUAACUGACGCUGAGGCUCGAAAGCGUGGGGAGCAAACAGGAUUAGAUACCCUGGUAGUCCACGCUGUAAGCGAUGAAUA